UCGGGAAUUUUGGGCAAUGGGCGAAAGCCUGACCCAGCAACGCCGCGUGAAGGAUGAAGUAUUUCGGUAUGUAAACUUCGAAAGAAUAGGAAGAAUAAAUGACGGUACUAUUUAUAAGGUCCGGCUAACUACGUGCCAGCAGCCGCGGUAAUACGUAGGGACCAAGCGUUGUUCGGAUUUACUGGGCGUAAAGGGCGCGUAGGCGGCAAUUCAAGUCAUCUGUGAAAUCUCCGGGCUUAACUCGGAACGGUCAGAUGAUACUGCUUUGCUAGAGUGCAGAAGGGGCAAUCGGAAUUCUUGGUGUAGCGGUGAAAUGCGUAGAUAUCAAGAGGAACACCUGAGGUGAAGACGGGUUGCUGGGCUGACACUCAAGUGCGAAAGCGUGGGGAGCAAACAGGAUUAGAUACCCGCGUAGUCCCUGAGCGGGCUGGCAAGGCGCAU
rnacentral:rRNA from 1 species